AGCUUCAGUAGCGUAUAUUAAAGUUGUUGCAGUUAAAAAGCUCGUAGUCGCAUUUCUGGCGAGAGGAUCCGGUCCGACCUUUUGGUGGGUUCUUGGGUCUCUUUCGCCAUCCUUGAGUGGUCCGUUCUGGCUUUAGGUUGUCGGUGCGUCAGCCGCUCAUCGUUUACUGUGAGAAAAUUAGAGUGUUCAAAGCAGGCUUAUGCCGUUGAAUAUAUUAGCAUGGAAUAAUAAGAUAGGACCUCGGUACUAUUUUGUUGGUUUGCGCACCAAGGUAAUGAUGAACAGGGACAGUUGGGGGUAUUUGUAUUUCGUUGUCAGAGGUGAAAUUCUUAGAUUUACGAAAGACAAACUACUGCGAAAGCAUUUACCAAGGAUGUUUUCA
rnacentral:rRNA from 1 species